rnacentral:lncRNA from 1 species
CUGUCUCUUGAGUGAUUAUUUCACACAGCCCAGUUCACCUGGAGUGACCCUGAGUGUUUUAGUUAUGAGAAAAGUGACAAUUUGUGGCCCAUACAGAACUCUAGGAUGAAUUUUAGAAAUUUAAUGGGUUUGGAAUUUCUCUCCAGAAGUUAAGCAUGCUUAGGAUUUCAGAGUAUUGUGGGCUGAAUUGUAGAAAGUAAGUGAAGUAGAAGAAAAAUCUGUGACAUUCAACUUUUUAAUAUUUGGGAGUAGUUUGUCUUUAGAAAGGAAAAAAAUAUUUUUAAAAUUCUAGAGACUCUAAAUGUAAAGAAUUAUUAAGAUGAUUAAUGGGAUAUGUUGUUAAG